rnacentral:rRNA from 1 species
CCUACGGGGGGCAGCAGUGGGGGAUAUUGCACAAUGGGGGGAACCCUGAUGCAGCGACGCCGCGUGGGUGAAGGAGCGUUUCGGCGCGUAAAGCCCUAUCGGCAGGGAAGAAGAUGACGGUACCUGACCAAGAAGCCCCGGCUAACUACGUGCCAGCAGCCGCGGUAAUACGUAGGGGGCAAGCGUUAUCCGGAUUUACUGGGUGUAAAGGGGGCGCAGACGGCAAUGCAAGCCAGGAGUGAAAGCCCGGGGCCCAACCCCGGGACUGCUCUUGGAACUGCAUGGCUGGAGUACAGGAGGGGCAGGCGGAAUUCCUAGUGUAGCGGUGAAAUCCGUAGAGAUCAAGAGGAAUACUCAUUGCGAAGGCGACCUGCUAGAACAUAACUGACGCUGAUGCGCGAAAGCGUGGGGAGCAAACAGGAUUAGAUACCCGAGUAGUC